rnacentral:rRNA from 1 species
GGAUUAGAUACCCUGGUAGUCCACGCCGUAAACGAUGGAUACUAGCUGUUCGGGACCUUGAGUUCUGAGCGGCUAAGCGAAAGUGAUAAGUAUCCCACCUGGGGAGUACGUUCGCAAGAAUGAAACUCAAAGGAAUUGACGGGGGCCCGCACAAGCGGUGGAGCAUGUGGUUUAAUUCGAUGAUACGCGAGGAACCUUACCAGGGCUUAAAUGUAGUCUGACAGCUUUAGAGAUAGAGUUUUCUUCGGACAGAUUACAAGGUGCUGCAUGGUUGUCGUCAGCUCGUGCCG